CAUACGCCGUCCUUAAUUCGCUCCCCUUUCUCUGCUUGAACUACGAACGGUGAUACAGGCAUCGUUGGGAGCCGUGCUGCUUAGCAGGAUUGGAGCUGCAGAUUGGUGGCAAGCGGAAGCUGAACAUGUAGAUCGAGCGACGCGGAAUGCAUAGUUUCUGUGCUUGCAUGGAAAUGAAGACUACUGUCUGAUCGAGGAACAGUAGGGGAAGAACCGAAGAACAGACCUUUGCUGCAUGGCUUUGGCCGCCUGGAAUCAUCCCAGCUUCUGUGUGCAGCGAAUCAAACCUCUGCAGCCUCCUUGGCGGUGACUGCAUCUUCUCCAACGCAAACCCAGAGUCUGCACCCCCUUCAGCAGCUCCAUUGCCGUUUGUCUUCAGAGGCUCAGCCAUCCUCUCGAGGCAUACGGGGUGGGGCCAAGGAUGACAACAUGUUGUUACUACUUUUCUUGCAACGAAGUGAUCUGAAAUUGUGGUGCUGGAGUCUGAACGAGGAUGGGAUCCUCGUGCAACAAACAGACUUGUCACUGAAUGCUGGUGAAGUCAAAUAUUGUUAUCAUCCCCUUUGCGCAUGCUAGUCCUCUUUCAGUGCAGCAAUUGGGAAUCCUGUGAUCUGCAACAACUAAGGAAGGUGGCUACAGGGGAAGACACGCAAAUAAGCCAGGAAGGUGGCUAAGGGGGAAUGCACGCUGGCUUUUCAAAAGUUGCAUCUAUUGUCACAUGUGGACUUGUGAGUG